rnacentral:rRNA from 1 species
UACGUAGGGGGCAAGCGUUGUCCGGAUUUAUUGGGCGUAAAGAGCGUGUAGGCGGCUUUACAGGUCCGUUGUGAAAACUCGAGGCUCAACCUCGAGACGCCGGUGGAAACCGUAAAGCUAGAGUCCGGAAGAGGAGAGUGGAAUUCCUGGUGUAGCGGUGAAAUGCGCAGAUAUCAGGAGGAACACCCGUGGCGAAGGCGGUGAUCUGGGCCGACACUGACGCUGUAGAGCGAAAGCGUGGGGAGCGAACAGG